ACCUGUACACCCGCUUACACUAGCUCUCAUCAUCUAGUUCUACGUAUGUGUGUGUUUGUUUUAAUUGUAUUGCCGAUGAAUUCGGUAGACAUGCUCCGCCCGCAAACAUGUACCACAUGAUGCAGUUCACUGAAUGUAGCAGUUAAUCACUCGUAAAAAGCGGUCAUGUUUUCGUAUAGUGUAGGUAUGCAUCUAUGUAAGCAUGUGUUCACACUCAUGAGCGAGCCACACAUGAUAUUGCAUUUCCUGUUCAGUUAUAUUUUUAGCACUGGAACACGAUGCUCAUACACUGUGUUGUUAUCUUUCUUUUUUCGCCUGCUCCUUCCUCCAACUUGUGUCUUUGAGUAUUUCAGUCACAUGCUCAAACGUUCUUAAAUGCUCUCGCCAUCGGUUUACGGAUGCGUUGAAAACGGACAUGUGAUGACCAAAUUUAACAAUAUGCGGACAAUGGAUCGACUUCUUGAAGCCUGUGGACGUGAUACACCUUAUCCAUCACCAUCAAGAGAUCAACAUUUUCGAAGACACUUGCGUACGGCUGCAGUGUCCGGCGCAAUGCUGAAUGCGACCUGUUAUCUGUUGGAUCUACUCUGUGAGCCCGAACCCCAGUGCAAUGGCACUGUUCGACUAUAGCGCUGGACGUCGUCUACUUUUUGCUAGAGGGAAAGGUCAUCAUCCGUCCAUGAACUUCGGGCUGCUCACAGCUAUAUUGCCUUGGCAAGUUCUUUGAGCACUCAAUACUGGACUUGGGCUGCGAAAGCUAAUGACAAUUUGGGGAGCUUGAUAUUGCAAUGGCUAUGACGUGAAGGCUCAAUAUGACGAACAGCUGGACUAUUCACCAUUGUCAACGCUUAUGAUAGCUAAAUAUCAUUGUGCUUGGUGUACAUUCACGUCUCGUUUCCUUGCUCCAUUUGUACCUCACCGGUCGUCC